UACGUAGGGUGCGAGCGUUGUCCGGAAUUAUUGGGCGUAAAGAGCACGUAGGCGGCUUGUCGCGUCGGCUGUGAAAACCUGGGGCUCAACCCCGGGCCUGCAGCCGAUACGGGCAAGCUAGAAUUCGGUAGGGGAGACUGGAAUUCCUGGUGUAGCGGUGAAAUGCGCAGAUAUCAGGAGGAACACCGGUGGCGAAGGCGGGUCUCUGGGCCGAUAUUGACGCUGAGGAGCGAAAGCGUGGGGAGCGAACAGG
rnacentral:rRNA from 1 species